GCAGAGGCGUGCAUCGCCUUCCGGACGAGGGGUGCCGUACCCGGUGAGCGACAAGACGGCCCGUA
rnacentral:ncRNA from 1 species